GUACUCACUUCAGCAGCACAUCUACUAAAAUUGGACUGAUACCUAGAAGAUUAGAAUGGCCCUUUCACGAAGAUGACAUGCAAAUCCAUGAAGCAUUCCAUAUUUUU